ACGGGAGGCAGCAGUGGGGAAUAUUGCACAAUGGGGGAAACCCUGAUGUAGCGACGCCGCGUGAAGGAAGAAGUAUCUCGGUAUGUAAACUUCUAUCAGCAGGGAAGAUAAUGACGGUACCUGACUAAGAAGCCCCGGCUAACUACGUGCCAGCAGCCGCGGUAAUACGUAGGGGGCAAGCGUUAUCCGGAUUUACUGGGUGUAAAGGGAGCGUAGACGGUUUGGCAAGUCUGAAGUGAAAUGCGGGGGCUCAACUCCUGAACUGCUUUGGAAACUGUCGAACUAGAGUGCAGGAGAGGUAAGUGGAAUUCCUAGUGUAGCGGUGAAAUGCGUAGAUAUUAGGAGGAACACCAGUGGCGAAGGCGGCUUACUGGACUGUAACUGACGUUGAGGCUCGAAAGCGUGGGGAGCAAACAGGAUUAGAUACCCUGGUA
rnacentral:rRNA from 1 species